rnacentral:sRNA from 1 species
UUAGUUCUAGUUCUUCUGUCUGAUGUAGAAUCUGUACAGCACAAGUAGCAGCAGGGCAAGCUUCCCCGACCCUACCCUGCCAUUGUGCUUCAAACCUGGCCCAAAGGAACUACCUCUUGGAAAGAGGGAGGGAGGCCAUUUGGGUUUUGGCCAGU